CUUUACUUGAGAAGUAUGAGUGUCUCCACACACUCCCAACACUUGGUGGCGGUAAUGCACCAUGCUGGAUGCCAACCGCCAAUACAAAUCAACGAAGAAGAGAUUGCACAUGCGCAGUUCCUCCUGAGACGUUGGAUUUGAACCAUCACGCGGCAAAAGAACGUUUGUCUGGAUUUGGUUUGAAGCAUUAAUGCAGAGACUGCCAAGCAGGAAGUGCACUUCACGCUCCCGCUCAAGGUUCUGUAAGAGUUCUUUCGGUUAACCAGCAAAAACCUCAAAAUCGAGUUUUUCAAAGAACUGGACAAAUACACUCCUCGCUGUCUUGACAUUUUCAAGUCCAAGGGUGGAUGUACCGGCCAGAUACUUAAGGCGUAUUUGCAUCAUCAAAUCGCACUGGGGAAUACAGAUGUUACUGCUAAGAGAACAGCAGUCCUCCGUGGCCUUCCCAUCCUCCUUGGAGAUGAGAACAAAGACUUCUUCAAGACAUACUUUGACUGUGAUGAACCGGAACUGGCCAACACCUCCAUUGAGAUCCUAACAGUAAUCCCUGAAGGUAUCCCACCUCAAGGAACACACCAACAUUUUGGGUUUUUAGCUUAUUCACUGUAUUCCCCAGAGUUAGAUAA